rnacentral:tRNA from 2 species
UAUGUUUUAAUAUAAGAUGUAUAGUAAUUUUUGAUAUUACAAGAAAUAGUUUAAUUCUAUUAAACAUAG